UAUAGCCUGGUGGCCACUUCAGACUUCAGCUCAUAUACACACACACACAUCCCCACACUCACUCACUCACUCACACCAACACCAACGGAGCCAGGAGCAGUCGCUGCCAUCACCCACACACACAACACACCGCAAACAUGCCAGCAGAAACACCUGCCGCGUGCGCAGCUCCCAAGGCCGAGAUGGACAAGUGUGUCCAGGGGAAAGGAGCAGAGGCCUGCAAGGACCUGAUUGAGGCCUUCAAUGCCUGCGUGAAGAGUGCAGCUUCGUGAGAACAUGAUCACGCUUCUACAUCACAAGUCCAUCAUGAUGAAUUUGAGGGGCUGAGUCUACCAUGUUUCCCAGCAUUCCCUAUAAUGCACACUGCACUGGACUAAACCAUCUUUUGGACGGGAGUAGGGGGAUGCCCGUCUUCAGGAGGCCAUGCAUGGGAUAGAAGCUCCCCCACCACCAUCCCCCUUUUUGAUCGAUCCAUCCUGCAAUGCCAAUGUUUCUACUAUGUCCCUGAUACAGUUCAUGUAUAUAUGUGCCAGAAGAAAACAAGAAAAUGAUGAUUUUAAAUGUGAUACUGUACUGUCUGUGUACAUGUCAUUUCAUAAUAAGUUAAGUGCAGCAAGUGAAUUGAAUUGAAUUUCAGCGCUAUCUAUGUAUUUUAUUAGGAUGUCUGGAUCUCUGAUAAUAAAACGAAUUUAAACCACA